GAUUCGUCACACUAUCAUUAACUGAAUCCAUAGGUUAAUGAGGCGAACCGGGGGAACUGAAACAUCUAAGUACCCCGAGGAAAAGAAAUCAACCGAGAUUCCCCCAGUAGCGGCGAGCGAACGGGGAGGAGCCCAGAGCCUGAAUCAGCAUGUGUGUUAGUGGAAGCGUCUGGAAAGGCGCGCGAUACAGGGUGACAGCCCCGUACACAAAAGCGCAUGUGCUGUGAGCUCGAUGAGUAGGGCGGGACACGUGGUAUCCUGUCUGAAUAUGGGGGGACCAUCCUCCAAGGCUAAAUACUCCUGACUGACCGAUAGUGAACCAGUACCGUGAGGGAAAGGCGAAAAGAACCCCGGCGAGGGGAGUGAAAAAGAACCUGAAACCGUGUACGUACAAGCAGUGGGAGCACCCUUCGGGGUGUGACUGCGUACCUUUUGUAUAAUGGGUCAGCGACUUAUAUUCUGUAGCAAGGUUAACCGUAUAGGGGAGCCGGAGGGAAACCGAGUCUUAAUUGGGCGUUAAGUUGCAGGGUAUAGACCCGAAACCCGGUGAUCUAGCCAUGGGCAGGUUGAAGGUUGGGUAACACUAACUGGAGGACCGAACCGACUAAUGUUGAAAAAUUAGCGGAUGACCUGUGGCUGGGGGUGAAAGGCCAAUCAAACCGGGAGAUAGCUGGUUCUCCCCGAAAGCUAUUUAGGUAGCGCCUCGUGAAUUCAUCUCCGGGGGUAGAGCACUGUUUCGGCUAGGGGGCCAUCCCGGCUUACCAACCCGAUGCAAACUGCGAAUACCGGAGAAUGUUAUCACGGGAGACACACGGCGGGUGCUAACGUCCGUCGUGAAGAGGGAAACAACCCAGACCGCCAGCUAAGGUCCCAAAGUCAUGGUUAAGUGGGAAACGAUGUGGGAAGGCCCAGACAGCCAGGAUGUUGGCUUAGAAGCAGCCAUCAUUUAAAGAAAGCGUAAUAGCUCACUGGUCGAGUCGGCCUGCGCGGAAGAUGUAACGGGGCUAAACCAUGCACCGAAGCUGCGGCAGCGAACGUAUCACCCAAGACAACUUUACGGAGUUGACGAUUGACGGAGCGAAGCGACGUCAAAGCGUUCAUUAAAGUCGAGUUGGCUUAGGGAUACGUUCGUUGGGUAGGGGAGCGUUCUGUAAGCCUGUGAAGGUGUGUCGUGAGGCAUGCUGGAGGUAUCAGAAGUGCGAAUGCUGACAUAAGUAACGAUAAAGCGGGUGAAAAGCCCGCUCGCCGGAAGACCAAGGGUUCCUGUCCAACGUUAAUCGGGGCAGGGUGAGUCGACCCCUAAGGCGAGGCCGAAAGGCGUAGUCGAUGGGAAACGGGUUAAUAUUCCCGUACUUGGUGUUACUGCGAAGGGGGGACGGAGAAGGCUAUGUUGGCCGGGCGACGGUUGUCCCGGUUUAAGCGUGUAGGUGUGUGUUCCAGGUAAAUCCGGUUCACUUUAACACUGAGGCGUGACGACGAGGCACUACGGUGCUGAAGCAACAAAUGCCCUGCUUCCAGGAAAAGCCUCUAAGCAUCAGGUAACAUCAAAUCGUACCCCAAACCGACACAGGUGGUCAGGUAGAGAAUACCAAGGCGCUUGAGAGAACUCGGGUGAAGGAACUAGGCAAAAUGGUGCCGUAACUUCGGGAGAAGGCACGCUGACACGUAGGUGAAGUGAUUUACUCAUGGAGCUGAAGUCAGUCGAAGAUACCAGCUGGCUGCAACUGUUUAUUAAAAACACAGCACUGUGCAAACACGAAAGUGGACGUAUACGGUGUGACGCCUGCCCGGUGCCGGAAGGUUAAUUGAUGGGGUCAGCGCAAGCGAAGCUCCUGAUCGAAGCCCCGGUAAACGGCGGCCGUAACUAUAACGGUCCUAAGGUAGCGAAAUUCCUUGUCGGGUAAGUUCCGACCUGCACGAAUGGCGUAAUGAUGGCCAGGCUGUCUCCACCCGAGACUCAGUGAAAUUGAACUCGCUGUGAAGAUGCAGUGUACCCGCGGCAAGACGGAAAGACCCCGUGAACCUUUACUAUAGCUUGACACUGAACAUUGAGCCUUGAUGUGUAGGAUAGGUGGGAGGCUUUGAAGUGUGGACGCCAGUCUGCAUGGAGCCGACCUUGAAAUACCACCCUUUAAUGUUUGAUGUUCUAACGUGGACCCGUAAUCCGGGUUGCGGACAGUGUCUGGUGGGUAGUUUGACUGGGGCGGUCUCCUCCUAAAGAGUAACGGAGGAGCACGAAGGUUGGCUAAUCCUGGUCGGACAUCAGGAGGUUAGUGCAAUGGCAUAAGCCAGCUUGACUGCGAGCGUGACGGCGCGAGCAGGUGCGAAAGCAGGUCAUAGUGAUCCGGUGGUUCUGAAUGGAAGGGCCAUCGCUCAACGGAUAAAAGGUACUCCGGGGAUAACAGGCUGAUACCGCCCAAGAGUUCAUAUCGACGGCGGUGUUUGGCACCUCGAUGUCGGCUCAUCACAUCCUGGGGCUGAAGUAGGUCCCAAGGGUAUGGCUGUUCGCCAUUUAAAGUGGUACGCGAGCUGGGUUUAGAACGUCGUGAGACAGUUCGGUCCCUAUCUGCCGUGGGCGCUGGAGAACUGAGGGGGGCUGCUCCUAGUACGAGAGGACCGGAGUGGACGCAUCACUGGUGUUCGGGUUGUCAUGCCAAUGGCACUGCCCGGUAGCUAAAUGCGGAAGAGAUAAGUGCUGAAAGCAUCUAAGCACGAAACUUGCCCCGAGAUGAGUUCUCCCUGAGACUUAGAGUCUCCUGAAGGAACGUUGAA
rnacentral:rRNA from 1 species